rnacentral:rRNA from 1 species
CAGCCGCCACGGGAAUACAGAGGGUGCGAGCGUUAAUCGGAUUUACUGGGCGUAAAGCGUGCGUAGGCGGCUUCUUAAGUCGGAUGUGAAAUCCCUGAGCUUAACUUAGGAAUUGCAUUCGAUACUGGGAAGCUAGAGUAUGGGAGAGGAUGGUAGAAUUCCAGGUGUAGCGGUGAAAUGCGUAGAGAUGUGGAGGAACACCAGUGGCGAAGGCGGCUUUUUGGUCUGUAACUGACGCUGAGGCGCGAAAGCGUGGGGAGCAAACAGGAUUAGAGACCCCUGUAGUCCCUGUCUCUUAUAC